GACGAACGCUGGCGGCGUGCUUAACACAUGCAAGUCGAACGGAAAGGCCUGCUUUCCCUUGUGGUUUGCGGGUACUCGAGUGGCGAACGGGUGAGUAACACGUGAGUGAUCUGCCCCCAACUUGGGUAUAAGCCUGGGAAACUGGGUCUAAUUCCCGAUAGGACUGCAGGGUGGUGCCUGUGGUGGAAAACGAUUUUCCAGUGGUUGGGGACGAGCUCGCGGACUAUCCGCUUGUUGGUGGGGUAAUGGCCUACCAAGGCGGCGACGGGUAGCCGGCCUGAGAGGGUGGACGGCCACAUUGGGACUGAGAUACGGCCCAGACGCCUACGGGAGGCAGCAGUGGGGAAUAUUGGACAAUGGGCGGAAGCCUGAUGCAGCGACGCCGCGUGGGGGAUGACGGCCUUCGGGUUGUAAACUCCUUUCGACCGCGAGGAAGCCACCUGGUUGGAAGGGUGGUGACGGUAGUGGUAGAAGAAGCACCGGCUAACUACGUG
rnacentral:rRNA from 1 species